rnacentral:rRNA from 1 species
GAUGAACGCUGGCGGCGUGCUUAACACAUGCAAGUCGAACGGUGAAGGCGGAGCUUGCUCUGCUGGAUCAGUGGCGAACGGGUGAGUAACACGUGAGCAAUCUGCCCCUGACUCUGGGAUAAGCGCUGGAAACGGCGUCUAAUACUGGAUACGAGCUGCGAAGGCAUCUUCAGCAGCUGGAAAGAACUUCGGUCAGGGAUGAGCUCGCGGCCUAUCAGCUUGUUGGUGAGGUAACGGCUCACCAAGGCGUCGACGGGUAGCCGGCCUGAGAGGGUGACCGGCCACACUGGGACUGAGACACGGCCCAGACUCCUACGGGAGGCAGCAGUGGGGAAUAUUGCACAAUGGGCGAAAGCCUGAUGCAGCAACGCCGCGUGAGGGACGACGGCCUUCGGGUUGUAAACCUCUUUUAGCAGGGAAGAAGCGAAAGUGACGGGACCUGCAGAAAAAGCGCCGGCUAACUACG